GCAAUUAUAUCCUGUUGUCACAGUAAACAAUGGUGGGAACCCAGGCUCCCAGGGGUUGGGACCAUUUUCACACAUUAACAUCAAUGCUGCGUUUGUUUUUAAAAUGUAGUUAUUUAAAUUGUCAGUUCACUAUAGUGUUGAAUGCCUUGCGCUUACAAAAGACAAAAUGGAACACAGGCUUGAGAUUCAUUCUGAACUGCUGAGGGAGCAUUCUGUCUCUGCAGACAGAUUCCAUUUACUUUCAAGCUGGCUAACAAAAAGGUUGGCAGGCUGAGCUCAGAGACGUUAUUUUAUUGGAUAUGUGUUUGCAUGUGGACACAGGCUUAGCUUUUUCCCCCCCUGUGAAGUGUUGGAUCUUCAAUAUACAAUACAUUCUGACUCAUCUAAAUGCCAAGUGCAAGCUAAACUUAUUUAGAAGUCAGUACUGUAACUUUGUUCUUGAGAUGAAAAGUGUUAAGAACCUAAUUUGUGCUUUUAAUCUCUGACACUGGCACUAAAAUUAGUUCCUUUCGAAACUUUUUUAAAAUAGCAAUUAACCUUUUUUCUGUGUUAGCAAGAAGCAUUACAAUAAGAGGUAUGCUUCUCUCCACAGGAACCUCUAAAAUUGGGCCUGAUGAGUUGACGGGUGCUUGAGUUACUAAAGCAAUCUGGGAAAGAGGGCAGAAAGCUGGGUACCCUGGAUACAAGCUAGGCAAAGGAUCAACCAGGCUAUAUUGCCAGAUGAGGUUUUCAAUCUUGAUCUUCUGGAAACAAAGCAGGAGGAAAGACUGAAGCACACUAACAAGAGAAGGAUUAUUUUUGUCCUUUUUAUUUUUAUUUUUUUUGUCCCACCGUCUGGGAGAAAAUCUAUUUUCACUCUUGUUAGAACAGGUUUUUUUAAAUAUUUAGGCCUUUUUCUUAGGUGUUGGGGUAAACACCUUAGGUGUUGGGGUAAACACCUGAGUUAAUGGGCUAAUUGCUAUACAUCUUAGUUUAGAAUUUAGUUUUGAAUUCUGAUGGAUUUUAUUCUUUACAUGCCUGCAUGGCAAGUGGCCUUCUAAAUAAUGUAUGUUUAUCCAGCUUUUAGCUCUGUUCACCCAGUUUAAAAUGUAGAAUGACCUCACAAGGCAUCUGAGAUGCCACUGUUCUGUUUUUUGGUAGCUGAGAAAUGGAAGUACACUGGCCCUGGGCUGCACAACAUAUGGCCUGCAGUUCACUGGCCCACAAUGGAAGCAGGUUGCUGCCUCCCGCCUCCCAUGGAGUCCUAGCUCCCAAGUCACUCUGCUCCCUUCAGGGGGCUGCUGCAGAGGCAGAAAUGGAGACUCGCUCACUUUCCCCAGGCUCCUGUGCCCUCCUGCCUCCGAGGCCAGGAGCUUCCUGGGAAUGAAGGUGCACAUGUGUCCUGAUGGAGACACAGGGUGCAUGCAUACCCUCAUUUCACAGGCUCCUGGCCCCAGUAGAAGCAGAAGGGCUCGGGAGUCUGGGCAGGCAGUGGUGAACAGGAGAACCUGAGCCUUUGCUUCUGCUUGCUUCCUGAUGGAGGCAGAGGGACUUAAGAGCUGGGGGGAAGCGAGCGGUGCCCCUCAUCAGAGCGGCUCAGGAUCCAGUGGGAGGCAAGUGACAGCGUAUGCUGCCUCACCACCGCUCCUGCCGCCCGCCCACUCGGAGGGCCGGAGAACUGAGGAAUUUUCACUGGUCGGGAGAAUGAAAUCAGAAAGAACACUUCUAAAACAUGUCAAGAGACACUUCUUAAUCCUUUGCUGAAAAUACAAAUCCUAUUAUAAAGUUCUGUUAUGAAAAAUGCA